rnacentral:rRNA from 1 species
ACAGCAGUAGCCACGGUAAUACGUAGGUGGCAAGCGUUGUCCGGAAUUAUUGGGCGUAAAGGGCUCGCAGGCGGUUUCUUAAGUCUGAUGUGAAAGCCCCCGGCUCAAUCGGGGAGGGUCAUUGGAAACUGGGAAACUUGAGUGCAGAAGAGGAGAGUGGAAUUCCACGUGUAGCGGUGAAAUGCGUAGAGAUGUGGAGGAACACCAGUGGCGAAGGCGACUCUCUGGUCUGUAACUGACGCUAAGGAGCGAAAGCGUGGGGAGCGAACAGGAUUAGAUACCCCCGUAGUCCCUGUCUCUUAUAC